rnacentral:tRNA from 1 species
UUAAUUGAAACCAAAAAGAGGUAUAUCACUGUUAAUGAUAAAACUGAGUUAUUCUCCAAUUAAG